rnacentral:tRNA from 2 species
AUUUAUAUAGUUUAAUUAAAACAUUACAUUUUCAUUGUAAAAAUAAAAAUUAAUUUUUUUUUUAUAAAUA